UACGGGGGGGCAAGCGGUUGUUCGGAAUUACUGGGCGUAAAGGGCUUAGGUAGGUGGCCAACUAAGUCAGACGUGAAAUCCCUCGGCUUAACCGGGGAACUGCGUCUGAUACUGGAUGGCUAGAGUGUGGGAGAGGGAUGCGGGAAUUCCAGGUGAUAGCGGUGAAAUGACGUAGAUAUCUGGAGGAACACCGGUGGCGAAGGCGGCAUCCUGGACCACGACUGACACUGAAAAGCGAAAGCCAGGGGAGCAAACGGG
rnacentral:rRNA from 1 species